rnacentral:rRNA from 1 species
CCCUUAGAUGUUCUGGGCCGCACGCGCGCUACAAUGAUUAGUUCAACAAGUUUUUCCACCUUGCCCGGAAGGGUUGGGUAACCUUGCGAAAACUAAUCGUGCUGAGGUUAGAUCAUUGUAAUUAUUGAUCUCUAAUCAGGAAUUCCUAGUAAGCGCGAGUUAUCAGCUCGCGUUGAUUACGUCCCCGCCCUUUGUACACACCGCCCGUCGCUACUACUGAUUGGAUGAUCCGGCCAGUUGUUCGGAGCCGGGGCAACGCUAUGGGGGCAACUCUGUAGUAAGUCCUGGCAAAGUUCCACCAGCCUUACCAUCUAGAAGAAGUAAAANUCGUAACA